GGUCUUAUAGUUUAUAUAAAAAUAUUAAACUGCAAAUUUAAAGAUAUUCAAAUUUUUAAGACUU
rnacentral:tRNA from 2 species